GUUUCAAACACUGGGUGUCAGUAUUGCUCAAAAGCACAGACCUAUUCUCAGAGUCAGGAUGUAAAUUGUUUAAGUAAAUCCAUUGACAAAUCAUGCAAGAAAGCUUUUAAAUGUCUUUGCAAGCUGAACGGCAGCAGCAAAGCCAAUUGUUAUUCAGAUCCCUGAAGUUGGCGUGCAGGUUUCACGAGUUCUUCCACUCGACCCGGGCAAGUCUGCAGUUCUGUUAGGAACUUUCCAACCCCAUCUGCCCUUUCUAGGCGCUUCCUUUCCAUGCAAGGAACCACUUGUUAUAAAACAAUGGAGGGACUUUGAAUUGCUGGUCCCCUUCAUUAAGAGUAACUGCUCCCUGCAGGCCUAAAAGCAAGAGGGAGGGGAAGAGGAUUUAAACACAGUAGAGGGAAAAUGGACAAUGAAAGAGAUAAAUUAAAUUGAUCACAGCUUAUUAUUAACAAUGGCGGAAAUAAAUCGAACUCAAUAAAUUGAGGCUCUCAGCUUCUGGAACCCAUCUGGGCACCUGACGUUCACCUGCAGCAUCGGAAACGCUUCAUCCUGUUGCUCCUCAUUUUAUGCUUCCUCUUCUCUAUCCCCAAACGCAGGAGGAAGCCAUUGUCCUUGGCCUGACCGAGUCCCCGCUGAAGAAGCUGGAGGAAGGAGACAAGACUGCCUUGCUGCUGGUCACACAACCAGUGAAGGAUCAGAUUCUCUGGGUACAGCUAGGCCAACUGCAGUUUGGGCCUGGACUCCAGAAGGGUCUGGAACGAGCAGAAGUUGAUACUGAUUCACCCUCAGCAGCAUCGUAGCACUUUGCUUCCAUGCUCCACCCAGCUGCCUGGCCAAGCUCUCCUCUUUGUCAGUUUCUGUGGCUCUUGGUCAUUCCAUCAUCUCAGUGGGAUCAUUAUUUCUAUCACCCACAUUGUUGUCUUUGGUGUUACGGAGCCUUUAGAAAGCCUUUUGGCUAGCAUAUUUUGGAAUCUGACAUCUCUGCUUUGGACCCAUCAGUUGACUGGUAUUUAAUUACACACUGUUUGGUAAUCUGCUUUUUCCCCUGGACAAUUAUGGUGGACAUUUCCCUUCUGUUAUUUAGUAGACUUCUAAAUAUUAUUUCGACAGUUGUGUUGUAAUCCAUCACGAGAUAUCCCACGAUGUAUUCCUUCCUGUUGGACAUUUAGGUUAUUUCCAAAUUUUCAGGACUCCAAAUAAUGCCUUGAUAAGUAUCAGUGUAGCAAAAUCUUUGCAAUCAUUCUUUUAAAUAUUUUAAAAAUACACAUGUACUGAAUGAACACAUGCUCUUGGUAAUAAAGCAUUACAGAUGUGAGUAAAGUCCCUAUUAAUAACCA